CUAAUCGUUUUGUGGCUGCCCAAGACAAGCUUCAGAAGUAAGUUCCCUUGCUUGUUAAACAUGCUACCUACCCAUCUAGUGUGGUCUGUCCCUUUCUUCAGACUCUCUGUUGCAUGUGAGUAAUGGGGUGGGUUUCAGAGUACACCCAGGAAGCUGCCAAGAAGUUGGGACUCAAGACUGUGAUGUGUGGGUAGACCCUGGACUUUUCCAUUCACCCUUAGUAUUCGAAGUAUCAUGAUCUCACCCUCAAAUGGAGGAAAUGACUUAGGCAUGGAAUGAAGUGGGUUUCUGGAGAUGCUGAGGGAUAUGUGCAGGGUACACAAGGAAGCUAGGCUCUUCAUUUUGGAAAGAACACACCCAAACCUGAUCCUGAGGAACCCAGGGUCAUGGACUGCAGCCGAAAGCAAACUGUUUGAGUGUGUGAAAACUAGAGAGCCCUGAAACAAAACUGUACUGGCGAAAGGAUGGUGGCAGCUUCAGAAGUACCUGGUAGCCUCUGAACUUGCCUUUCUUUGAAUUUCCACUUGCUUCGUGGGAUUCCUUCAAGGUCAUAAAUUUUGAAUGAGGGUUUACCGUAGGAAGCUGUUGAAAUAAAUAGGGGUGAGGCAUCCUUGUACUUUUAUAAGUCCUGUGCUUCCAGGAACUGAACAAUUGGCCAGCAGUUUCUGUGGUGUCCAGGUGGCUCUCCCAACAUGGAUUCAUCAGCACAUCAAGCGAAGGGCUGGUGGUGUCUUGGAGUUUGAUACAGUUCAGGAAAUCCAAGAUCUCUAUGGUGCAGGAACGUGUCUGAAACCACAUCCACCAUGGCCAUCUGGCUCCAGUUGGAAUGCCUGAAACACAGUUUUAUAUCUUUUCAUAACAAGGAGCAAACGUCAGAUAUGGAGUACAUCACUUCAAGGUUUCAAAAGAGAAAGUUUAGCACGUACACAGCUAGGCAGCAUGACCUCACUGUCUGGAAAGAGAAACUCAUCCUCCAAGGAGAACCAGCCUGGGCAUCAUCAGAAGGGGGACAUUUGCCCUUAUCUUGAAAGCGACUCCCAAGAGGACUGUGAAGAAGGAGACUUGGUUUGAAGCCAUGUCAAAAGGAUGCUGUGCAAGCAGUGCUUCAAAAGAACCCUUACCCUGGUAUAACUACCAGAGAACAACUGGCCUGAGAACCUGGCAUUCUA